rnacentral:lncRNA from 1 species
CAGGAACCUCUUAAAGGGCGAGAGCGGCGGAGGGCGAGAACGCGGCCCGGCCCGGCCCGGCCAGGUCCCCGCCCUGUCCAGCCCAGGUCAGUGGUGGCCUGACCCACACUAGAGGUCUCUGAAACCCACGCCUACAGCUCCCUAUGGUAACAGUAGCUAACAUUUCUGAAGAGUUUCCUCUGUUACUGUGUGCCAAGCGUUCUUCAAAAUGUUUUACAUAUAUUAACUCAAUCUUCACAACAGCCCUGGAGAAUGACCUAGAGGUUAGUUAGGAAUGGCUAGACCUGCUUCUUUUUGGACUCAGACUCCUGGGAGCUGACCCAGAACUGUAUACCCUUAGGGAAUCUGAGGUCUUCACCACUCGUAUUGACCCUCAUCAUUCUGAUUUCCUUUAUGUGCUACCUUUGUUAUAGACUAUCUGGAUGACCCAAGAAAUAUUUAGAAUGAACAAGCAUUUUCAAGGUUUUGGCACAUUGAUUUCAUUUUGCUGCUAGGCGACACAGUAAUUUAGCUAAUUGUUUUGUAAUUAAAUAACAAAAACAUUUUCCUGUGAGCAAAUGUUUUUCUUUCAGAUAGUAUUUGUAAGUUAAAAAAAAAAAACCAAAACUUUAGAAGAGUAACACAAAGUUUCUAAUAUAUUGCCCAUCCUCAGUUUAUCCUGAAAGAAGGAGUUAACAUGUCCACAUCUGUAGUAUCUGAGUAUCUUGUUAAUGUAAAU